UGACGAAGCGUUAUUUUGUGCUCUCUAUGUUUAUCUUGUCCUUUCUAUUGCGGGUUUACCAUUAGUACUUUUGUCAACAGUGAAUAGGAAGCAAAGAUGCACAUCAUUGUUGAGUGUCCCGUGUGCAAGCAUCUUUCGCGGAACCUUCAUCGUAGUUACAGUUUUUAAAUUAAACAUUUCCUGGUAUGCAGGGGAGAUGUAUUUUCUUCUUCUUGCAACGACAGCCUUUAGUCUGGUAACUCUACUUUUGGCCACACUUCUUUUUAGAUACAUUCACAAGGGUACAGUUGAUACUCCAACCGGCACAAUAGAACGGAAAUCAGCUCACAGCUUCUUUGUACAUACACAGAGAUUUUGUUGGCUUAUAGAGUACAUAUUCCCACUCAGUCAUGUCUGGGGAAUGGCUUUUGACCCAUUUGACUGCUUAAAAUGAUUUGCCCACUAUAAUCAGUUGUACAUUGUCGAAGUGGAAGAGAGGAAGGAUAGGAGGAGAUGAAAAGAAAACAGCACUUACUCAUUCACCUCACAUGGACAUUGGACAUGGGCAUAGACAGUGGAAAGUGGCUUGUUGGGUUCUUGAUAGAUUUUGGGCGUCAUCAAGUGAUCAUGUGAGGAGGCAUCAACCGAGAAAAUAAUCCAAAAAAUUAGGAGUACUUUUGAUAUGGCUUCAGUUUAGUACAUCCAAAUGGUGUAAAACUUGUAUCGUAUACUUAAAUACCAAAAGCUUGUCAGAAAGGAAAUUGUAUUAAGCAAACAUCCUUACAUUUGAGACCCACAGAUGAUGGCCAAAUAUUAGUUUAGUUCGCUCUUACAUGUUGCUCAUUAAUUAGCUAUAUUUGCAGUAGUGACAUCCACUUUCCUAACGGAAGUAGGACAAGAUUCUUAGCAUUUAUAAAGAAUAUUAUAUCAUGUAGGUUUCAAUGAAGCCGGUAUAUCAAAUGCAAAUUUGCAACAUCGCUGCAUGAAAGCUUGCAAAACAGGGUAGCGAAUAUGCGAGUGGAUACUGGAUAGGUUAAAUAUCCUGCCGCCCAUGAUUUGCCUGUGUUCUCCUCAGCCGUGCCUCAAAUCUUCUGCUUGACGAGGGUAAUUCAUUUCUUUAUGGUGCAUUGUGCUGACAAAGCGUUAUUUUGUGCUCUCUAUGUUUAUCUUGUCCUUUCUAUUGCGGGUUUACCAUUAGUACUUUUGUCAACAGUGAAUAGGAAGCAAAGAUGCACAUCAUUGUUGAGUGUCCCGUGUGCAAGCAUCUUUCGCAGAACCUUCAUCGUAGUUACAGUUUUUAAACUAAACAUUUCCUGGUAUGCAGGGGAAAUGUAUAUUCUUCGCCUUGCAACGACAGCCUUUAGUCUGGUAACUCUCCUUUUAGCCACACUUCUUUUUAGAUACAUUCACAAGGGUGCAGUUGAUACUCCAACCUGCACAAUAGAACGGAAAUCAGCUCACGGCUUCUUUGUACAUACACAGAUUUUGUUGGCUUAUAGUGCACAUAUUGCCAUUCAGUCAUGUCUGGGGUAUAGCUUUUGACCCAUUUGACUGCUCAAAAUGAUUUACCCACUAUAACCAGUUGUACAUUGUCGAAGUGGAAGAGAGGAAGGAGAGGAGGAGUUGAAAAGAAAACCGCACUUCCUCAUUCACCUCACAUUGGACAUUGGACAUGGGCAUAGACAGUGGAAAGUGGCUUGUUGAGUUCUUGAUAGAUUUGGGCGUCAUCAAGUGUUCCUGUGAGAAGGCAUCAACUGAGAAAAUAAUCCAAAAAAUUAGGAGUACUUUUGAUAUGGCUUCAGUUUAGAACAUCCAAAUGGUGUAAAACUUGUAUCGUAUACUUAAAUACCAAAAGCUUGCCAGAAAGGAAAUUGUAUUAAGCAAACGUCCUUACAUUUGAGACC